AUUGUUUCGAACAUCGACUUUUUUCUCUUGGAAAAAAGGAGGUGGAUCGGUAUUGAGGAUUUGCCAUUCACCAUGGCUUCCUCGAAAAGCAUUAGCGCAUCCAUUUGAUAGGCAAGACGGACGAAAGCAUGCAUUUUUGCCUUGUUCUUCCCUGCCGGGUUUUGAUAAUAUCAGGACUUCGGAGGCGAAGGCAAGGUGGCAAGCUGGACGCAACGACUUGCUGUUUGGAGUGCUUCUAACCCCGCCCAUGCCUUGCUUGCAAGGAAGGGAAUUUUUUCAAUU
rnacentral:misc_RNA from 2 species